GAAAAAGCGUGUAAAGCAAUGUCAGUGAUAACAAGCAAAAAUAGGACAGGGGAGAAAGCCAAGAGUCUUCAGACCACAAGAGAAGGAGAGAUUAAUUCUGGUAGGGAGGAAAAUCCACCUGGAUGGACAGCAGCAGAGGGAGGAGGAGGCAGGACAGACCAGAAGAGAGACAAUGAGGUUCUGAACCUAGAUGUUGGCCAAGGGAGCAGAGGAGGGCAGGUCAGGAGGCCCUCGCCCUGCAAUCACCCUUCCUGGGAGCCUUCACUUCACCUGUGAUCUCAAGACCUCUCCCUACUGCCUGACUCGCGCCGAGCUUAUGGAACAUCUUCCCUUGAGGGUCGCAGUCCAUUCGAUGAGCCCUUGUCACAGGUCCUGCUUCUGUGGGGAGCUCAAGCGCGGACACCCUUGGAACACUCCCCAAGUCUCUUCCUUCCCAUCCAGCACCACUUCCCUAAGUCACAGCUGCACCACCUCUCAUCUGGACUGCUCACAGCAGGUGGAGUCAGGAUCAAAAUAGCCAAAGAAAAAGUAAGAAUCCGUAUACAGGAAACAAAUAUGUGAUGAUGACCGGAGCAGCUCAGAAUCAGAACUUGAGCAAGACCUGGGCUGCUUUGAUUUUCUGAAGGUCUCAAAAUAUUAGGGGCAAAAAAGAAAAUAAAAAAAGAAAAAAAAGAAGGAAUACCAAAAGCAAGUUACAUAAAGUAUGAGAUAUAUUACAUGUUUCCAGUGAACAAGUGAACAGUUUGGCACGUCAAAGACACAACGUCAGAGCAUUUAGCCUCAAUUGGCGAUAACCUGAAAAGCCUGAAAAGCAAAGCCUUCUGGGAAUGUGAGCUCCAGUUCUGGGAUGAACCCUGAAAAGGACAGAGUGAGCCACACGUGGUGGCCGGACCAUGGGUAAGGGGUGAGCACUGCUGGGCUCCAUUCUGCUGGAAGGACGGACAAUCUCCUUCUGCACAAUAACUGGUGUGAGGGGGCCGGACGCUGUGAGGGUCAGGAAGGGGAGGGUCCACCCAAAGUAGGCUAAUGGAGCAGUUGGUGACCCCAUUUCCCCAGCUUUCAGCCAGAGAUAUCCCAGAUGUCAUGGGAGAGCCAUUGGAUGCUCUCAGCUCUGAAUUUUCAUGCCUCUGCCACGGUUAGCAUCAGAGCAGUGAUUUCCAUCCAACAUAGCAAAAAACUUUUCAUGGGAGACCAAAAGCUUGUGGCUUCAGAAUGAAUCCAGAAAAAAAAAAAAAUCCCUGUCAUGAGGGUGAAAGGAGCUGCCAGCCUCAACAGGGCUCCUUGGAGAAGACAUUUGAGACUUACAUUCCAGGCAAAGUGGCACUUCACAUUCUGGGUUCUGACCUUCUUGGAAUAAAUGUCUCCACCUGCGGGCAGAACUACCUGGCUCUCCUCCAUACCUGCUAUAUCAGAAUCUGGGUAGAGUUAGGGAGGGGUAGAGGUAUCCUAGGUAAUUUUUUUUAGGCACUAAGGCUGAGGUCCGUCGUUCUAAGCUUUGGGGUGGAGGUAGAUGGGGAAGAUGAUAGUAAGUUGCCAUUUCAUGGGUGCUGAUUCUUGAGGGCAGAGGAGUCCAUUUAAGUGACUGGGAAGGAGGAGGCUCACAUGCUGGCUUGGAUGGAGGGUGUGCCAUUUUGCUAAAUGUGAAGCAUAGAGAGAAGAAGCUUCUGGUGGUUGGUUGAGAAGACUGAGCCAGGCAGUAUCCCUGGAGGCUCAAACUAGUAACCGUUCCUGGGCCUUGUAUCAACCUGUUGCCUUGCCAUUUAUUCCAGUUACAUUUUGCUGUGCAACAAACCACCCCAAAAUGUAGUGGUUUAAACAACAAUCAUUUUAUUAUCUUUCACACUUACUGUGGGUCAUGAAUUCAGGAAAGGUUCAGCUGAGCAGUUCUGUCUUGGGGUCCAUCAUGUAGCUGUAGUCAGAAGGUAACUAGAAC
rnacentral:lncRNA from 1 species